AUUGAACGCUGGCGGCAGGCCUAACACAUGCAAGUCGAGCGGAGGAAGGGAGCUUGCUCCUGGAUUCAGCGGCGGACGGGUGAGUAAUGCCUAGGAAUCUGCCUGGUAGUGGGGGAUAACGUCCGGAAACGGGCGCUAAUACCGCAUACGUCCUGAGGGAGAAAGUGGGGGAUCUUCGGACCUCACGCUAUCAGAUGAGCCUAGGUCGGAUUAGCUAGUUGGUGGGGUAAAGGCCUACCAAGGCGACGAUCCGUAACUGGUCUGAGAGGAUGGUCAGUCACACUGGAACUGAGACACGGUCCAGACUCCUACGGGAGGCAGCAGUGGGGAAUAUUGGACAAUGGGCGAAAGCCUGAUCCAGCCAUGCCGCGUGUGUGAAGAAGGUCUUCGGAUUGUAAAGCACUUUAAGUUGGGAGGAAGGGCAGUAAGUUAAUACCUUGCUGUUUUGACGUUACCAACAGAAUAAGCACCGGCUAACUUCGUG
rnacentral:rRNA from 1 species